UGCAGGCUGCAUGUCUCUGGCCCUUCGGCGGCCUCCCCUUCUCCCAGCCCUCCACUCACCGGGCCUCACUUACUGCUUCACACGGCAGUGGAACGGUUGGGAGCGUCCACACUUGCCCCAUUGCUGCAUCUGUCCCUGGGGCUGCGUCCUCCCGGCCCUGCCCACAGCCAGUGUGCCCGGGGCCUGUCCUCUCUCCCCCACCCCCACUGAGGGCCUCUCUCUGGCAGGCUCCCUUCUCUCUGUGCACCAGGAAUGGUUCCUUCUCUGCAGGCCGUGCCCUCGACAAUCCAGCCAGUGGCCCUGUCUCCUCCUGUGGAGUGCAGCCCACGCACCUGUUCCGCAAUGAGGGCCAGGCUCUCUCUCAGGCUGUACAGGCUGAUGACGGGGAUCGUGUGAUGGUACCUGGAAGAUACGAGGGGGCUUGGUCCAGCACCACGGGCAGGUUUGGGGGCAGAUGGGGCAUUAGCUCUGUCUGCCCCAGCCCCAACAGCACAGGCUGUCUGAGCACAGGCCGGUAUCCGCCACAGGAGUCUUGUCUGGGUUCAGAACUUUGGACCGGGAAGGCAGCUUCAUCUGCCGGGGAGAGCAUGGCUCCAUGUGGGGCCCGGCCAGGAUGCGGUGGGUGGUACAGGAGCAGAGACACACACCACCACCACCCUGCUGAGCCCCUCAGCCCCAGCGUGCCCACGAAGCCAGCACUGGCCCUCUGUGCCCACUGGGCUAGGGCAGCAUUCCUGGAGCCUUGUCCCUGUGUGUAACAUAAGGGGCCUUGGGUUUAUGGCCAAGAUUAUCUUUUGAAAGGGGAUAAACUGAGGCCCAGGAGUGGGGAGAUAUGGCAGGGCCAGGUCCAAAGUGCCCGAGGAUGUGCUGGGACCUCUGAGCGGGGGGACAGAGUUUGUGGAAGAGGCAGUGGGGGCCAAGCCCCUGCCCAGAGCCUCGGGCCAGUCGAGGGAUGGGGAAACCCAGGGUGGGGCAUGCCGACCGCCCGAUGCAGGUGAGUUCUGGGACUCUGAUUGGGGUUCUUGUGGCAUGAAGGUGGGGGGCUCAGAGAAUCCCUGAGUGCAGUGAAAGGUCAGCGUCCCCCCAGCCAGCCAUGCCCAGCACCCCCCACACCUUCCCGUCCCUGCCGGGCCUCACAUCCUGGGCUGGCCGUCACAACCCCAGAAGUUGGCCAGCCACUUGAUGUCCAGGUAGAAGGAGAAGGGCUUCGUCUUGCGGGAGUACAUCUUCUUUCUGGGGAGGAAAAGCAGCCUGAGCACCGGCCCCUCAGUUUGGGCUGAAGGUAGGAGCAGUCUUGCUGGCUGUCCUGUUUCACAGGAGUGAGACGGGGUGGGGCCCCCAAGAGGGCCUGCCCCAGCUGCAUUUAUACUCAGGGGCCAAUGUGGGACCGGGCAGGUCCUGGGUCCCUCAGCUGUCCAGUACCGCUGGCCCUUGGGCCCAGCCUGCACCUCUGCCCAUGUGGGUGUGACCCUGCCAUGGGGGCACUGAGGCCAGCUCCCUCCAUUCUGUGUGCCCCUUUCUCUCCCCCAGCCCUUCCUACAGGGUCAGCCUUCAUUUCUCACAUCAUCCAAAGGUGACUGCUUUCGGGCCCCAGGGCACACUGGCCAGGCUUAAAACUUUAAAUGUGUCCGUCUCUACAACUCCAAGUUGGUGGGCCAGCCCCGGUCUCUCCCCAGGCUCCUGACUCACACCCAGCCGCCUCCUUCACCCUCCCCUGUGAUCCAACGGGCAUCUCAGACCUCCCACGUCCAACACCGAAUUCCUGACUUCACCCCAAAGUCCUCUCUGUUCUGGGGAAUGGCACCUCCAGUUGCCAGGCUGCAGCUGGAUGUGAACCGCCUGUGAGGCCUGGCCCUCUUCCCCCACCCCUGGCUCGGAAUCUGGACACCAGGAGCGGGAGGUGAGAUUGGGACUGCAGGGGGCACCAUGUGUGGCCCACGUUGUGCCUUGGGGCAGCCCCUGGAAGCCAAGCCAGGGUGGGUCGGGGUGCUGGGCCCCAGGCCCUCAGUUCUUUCCUGGCCACUCCUUGGUGUGAAGCUGGGAACUUCCAGAGCAGCGGACUCUGCACCCUGCACAUGCCCACGGCCCUCCCCUUGCCUGGCCUCCCCACUCCCCGUGAACGCAGUGCCUUUGGCCUCCCGGAGGGUGGGCAGGAGAGCGCCAGGUGCUGGAGGAGCCUGGGGAGCCCUUCCAGCCUGGCUCCCGCCCCUCCUGCCUCGGGCCACCUGAGCUCCCUGCGAGCCCAGCCCUGCACAGAGGUGAGGGUCUGUGGGUCACUCACUUGGCCUUGUCACUGAAGGAGAUGAACGAGGUCCCUGGGGGGGCGUUCAGGACCUUCUGGGAGCCCGAGUACAGGAUGUCGAUGCCUGUAGAUGGGUGGUUUGUUUGGGACGGGGGAGCCCCACCACAGGGCAGGCCGGUCCAGCGGGGUGCCUGCCUAGCUAAUGGGCUGGUGGGCUACGACCCCACAAGAAUCCGUACACGAUGGGAGGGGAGACAUGGAAGGGAAUCCUGGGUUCGAAUCUCAGCACUGUUGCGUGGCAGCCAUGACCUCAGGCCUGAGCCUUUUAGCGCAGCUUCUCCCUCCGCUGUGCGAAUGGUCCCCAGGGACAGCCCUGCCGCCCCUGGCCCCGUGUCCUCGGGUCCCUCCCCAGGUCCCUGCUUUCAGUAGUAGUUUGAGGAUCAGCCCAAAAAUCCCUCCCUUCCUGCCUGAGAUCUCCCAAAUCAGGAGGGGCUCUGCAGAAACAGAGAGGCUCCCAUGGAGUGGGUGGGCAGGCACCGCAGUGGGCGCAGGGUGCAGGCUCUCCCUCGUAAACGUGCUGAUGGGCACAGGAGGCGCCUUGGUCCCCUCGGCCGGCCUGGGUGAGCUUCCCUGCGAGGUGACCCUGUGCAGUGGUGCUCACUGCUGUGGGCAGCCUGGCGGGGUGCAGGGCGGAUGUGAAACUGAGCCUCUGGGGGUUCGGCAGAGGGGUCCCCUACACCUGAUCGACUGGAGCCCUGGCCACUGCUUCUACUACAGCUCUGGGGCCUCUCAAAUGUCCCCCACCAGCUGUCCCUCCCGCCAGUCCCCAUGCCUGGAUCUGAAAGCUCAGUGGAAACACUGGGGUGCCGGGUAGUUCAUGGAGCCGCUCUUGCCCCAGUAAGGAGUGAGUGUUUCCCUGGGCCGGGUGGAGAUGAGGCCGAAUCCGCAGUGUUGGCUGCCGGAUGCGCACUUCCAGCAGGGCUUCCUGCACCCGGAGCCCCUGGCUGCUCCGGCUGGGUAGGACCCUCAGAGCACACCCUUACCUUGCUGGUCCAUGUAGAGAGGGGUCCCACCCAGGGAUACCACCGAAUCCACCAGGAGCAGGCACUUGUACCUAGAGAGAUGGGGGAUGGAACGGAGGGCCGCAGGUGAGGCAGGGGGCCGCUGGAGGGCUUGGGCCCCAGCCUGGAUGGGGUUUCUGAGCCUCAGGCUGGCAAGGAAGGGGGGGUGCCUCCCACCUGUGCCCCAGGAGUUGGCCAGUUGCCUUCUCCUGCCUGUCAGGAUCCGUCAGGACCUGUGGCUCUUUCUUUUGCAGCCCUGAUCAUUGGAGCAGAAGGAGCUGGGGGAGUGAGGGAGCAUCAUGGCCCUGGUGGGACCCAGCUGCAGGGCCCUGCAGUGGUGCCGAAGAGGGUCAGCCGGGCAGUCUGUGGUUCCCCAGGGACAGCAGGCGCAUGAGGGCCUGUGUGGACCCCAGGGACCACGGUGGCACCAAGCUGGGCCUCCCUCUGCCAACAGCUGCUCGGCCCAGCCACUGGCCAGAGUCCAGGGCCGGAGGGGACAGAGUCCCGGAACAGCACAAACAGCAGCACCUCAAACUCUCACCCUCCGAACUCUCACCCUCCGAACUCUCACCCUCCGAACUCUCACCCUCUGAACUCUCGCCCUCUGAACUCUCACCCUCCGAACUCUCGCCCUCUGAACUCUCACCCUCGUCCACCUCCAUAUUUUCUUGUAAAGAAAAGAAAGAUACAGAAAGUAUCUCGUGCUGGCUGCAGGUGGGGACGGCCUGGGUGUUGCUGAAGCCGGCCAGGUUAUGUUUGUGAGCUUUAUUCAUGGCCACGGUCCAUGUAGCAAGCUGUCCGGGCUGGGGGCCCUGCUGAAGGAUCCUCCCUGGCCGUGGAGUUUCUCUCCUCUGUCCUGUGCUCAGACCUGCCGACGGGACUGCUAGGUCCCAAGGGGCUCUGUCCCCAUUUCUCAGGAAUCCCGUCUGACUCCAUUCAAGGCCCUGCCCUGUGCACCCCCAUGCGGGGGUAAGGGAGGCUGGAGGAGGGAAGCGGAGGGCAUCAGGGAGCUUUAGUGCCCUUGCAAUCUCGGGGCGAGGUGGGGACAGGCCCUGGCAAGAUAUGGAGGUCUGUGCCAAGCCCUCUUCAGUCAUGGGGACAGAGGUCAGUGGGCACCGUGGGGGUGCUUGGCCAGGGAGCACCUGAGCCUGCCCCGGGGCCUGGGAUUGUCUUUAGACUCAGCCCAGAGCAAAGAGGACCUGAGAGGUGCUUGCACCCCACACCAUGUGACAGAGGCCAAGGUGGGGACCAGGGGCAGAAGCGCCAGAGGGACCAGUACCCACCCCUCCCCACAGCCUGGCUCUGAGCUGUGCUCUGGCCCACCGCCCUGGGGCCAGGUUCACCUGUGGCAGAGUUCCCCAAAACCGUCAAGGGGCUGCAGCACGCCGGUGGACGACUCCCCGUGGGUCAAGAACAGCAGCACCGGCUUGUGCUGGGCCAGGCCCUGGGGAGGCAGGGAUGGCUGCAGGCGAAGCUCAGAGGGGCAGGGGCCAGGAACCCCCCAACAAACCCCCCAUGGGUGGCCCAGCUCCAGGCAGCAGGGGCUGGGUGUGCCUCAACCCCUCCCUGACGGUGUGCAUGCGAGGCGGAGGCGGGGGCAUCUCCGAUUUGGGAGGAGGGCUUUUCCGAGAACAGGACUUUUGCGCAGAGGUGGAGGAAGGGUGGCCCCAGCCUGCUGCCUGGCCUGUGAGGGCUGUUGCUAGAUGGACGGAGUCCCCCACACUUCAGCCCCUCUGACCCUGCCCACAGGACCAAGCUCCUGACUCAGUUUCCCUGCCAGACAGAAGCCUCCCUACCAGUCUUCCCAUCAUUCCCAGGUAAUGGAGCCCUCCCCUGUGGCCACUCAGGAGAUGCUAGGAUGGGCUGAGGGCCAGCCAUGGGCCCCAGCCUCCCGGCUCUGAUCCCACCCCACUGGCUGGUCACUGCCAGGCAGCCCAUGAGCCAGCAUGCCCCCCAACCUCCUUCCAGACCUGACCCCCACCCUGGGUCCCCCUACCUCCUCCACCUCCUGCAGUGUGUAGUGGCCUCCAGGGUCCUUGGUCAUUGGGUGCACUCGGGCUCCUGGGUGCAGGACAGAGUGGGCCGUGAGUGUCCCGCACACACUGUAGAAGCCAGCGUUGGGCACCCGUGGCCCUGCUGAGCAGGGGGGCCCUGUGAGGGCUGGACCCCACCCUGGCUGCCUGAAGAGGAGGGUGUUCUCUGCCCAGUGAGAGCCUCUCUGUGUGUAGAGCCAGGGCCGUCUUGACCCCCCGACUGUUGGAGCCAAGGCUCCUGGGGUGCCCUUGACAGAGCUCAGCUCAAACACCCUUUCUCAGGCCACACUGGCCAGUGUCUCCCCAAGCAGAGUGAGCUCCUGGGGGUCGGGGCCGCACCUGGCCCAGGGCUGGCACAAGGAGUGCACCUGACCCAGGGCUGGCACACCACUGGUGUGGUGGAUGACAGAGCGAAGGAUGAGGGGUGAGCGAGGCAGCAGUCUGGCCCUCUGUUGGAGCUGGGACUCCAGGAAUCAGGCCCUCGUCCCCUCCUUCUCUCUGCCCCUAUCCUGCGUGCUGCUCGUGGCCAGGGUUGUGGGAGGGGAAGAACUUGCAGCCGAGGGUACAGAAUGGGGACAGGGGAGGCCAUAUACCGCAGGCAUCUGAGCCUGAGUGCCCUGAUGACCACUUGGGGUCCUGGCCUCUGCUGACCCUGGGUCCCCUUGAAAAGUUUGUGGACUUUGGAUUGGGACCGUCUUGGCUGUGGCAGUUGGUUGAGUAUUAACCAGCGUAGCCACUGUGGAGCUGGCCAAGCUGAUGUCCCUCAAUGCCACAAUCAAGCACUAACCCCAGGGCACACUCCUGCUCCUGUCUGUCUCCCAGAAAAGUGUACUCCGGAGGCACAUGCUCUGUCCAUACCUCCAUAUUUUGUGGAUCACAUCAAGGUUCCAGAAAGGGGGGCUGCUGAGAUUUGAGGGGAGGCUUCAGCUUCUGAAACCCCACCCUGUCACAGAGCAGAGCUGGUGCCUGGGGCCCUGGACAGUGGCUGGGGUUCUCAGGAGUGUGUGCUGGGACCAGAGGCUUCCCUGCAGUGCCAUCCCCCACGAGCUCCAGAAACAGCUCGAGGAGACUGGAGGGAUCGGAGCACCUGUGCUGCUCUCAGCCCUAUCAGAGUCAGGUCCCACGAGUGCCCUGACACCACCUGGAGGAGGCAGCGGGCUGAGAGAAGGAACGUGCGUGCAGGGCCACAGCGUGGGUAAGCGCUCACCCGGGGACAGGGCCGCCAGCUUCAAACAGAGGGAGACCAGGGAGGCCUUGAAGGAUGGAGCCAGGGCCAUCCCCACCUGGCUCUCUCCCUUACCCAUGCGCUCCCCGAUGUCCAUGGCUCGCUGCCCCCAAAUGCCAUUGACCCCGACCAGGAAGGAGUCCCCAGGCUCCAGCACAUUGACCAGGGCGGCCUCCAGGGCACAGUGUCCGGAGCCAGUGAUGACCAGUGUGAGCGGGUUCCUGGUCUGGAACACGUACUGGAUGCCUUCCUUGAUCUCGUCCAUGAUCUGCGUGCAUGUGGGAACAGGGUGAGACCCAGGCUCCUUGCCCCUCCCCGUCCGUGAUCUGCGUGUGGCUGGGUAGAGGGUGAGACCCAGGCUCCUUGCCCCCCUGUCCGUGAUCUGCGGGUGGGAACAGUGUGAGACCCAGGUUUCCGGUCCCCCCUCGUCUGUGAUCUGUGGGUGGAUACAGGGUCAGACCCAGGCCCCCGCGAGUGAGGAGACAGUGACCCCUCCCCUCGUCUGUGAUCUGCGGGUGGGAACACAGAGUUUGUGAGUCAAAAUGAGACCAGUUUUGAAGAAUGCAAUCCAAGGACGAGUAGACGGAAUUGAAGAAUGAAUUGGAUCCAUGCUGGGUUCAGAUCAGGGCUUCAGGAUCCCACUGAAGAGUAGUCUUGGCCAGGGCCCUCAGUUCCCGAGUAAAGAACCAGACCAUCAAGGGAAGCAGGGAGGGAAAAGAAGGGAGAGAUCCCAGUAAAGUCCCGUAUGCACAACCAAGGAGCCGGGCGAGGUGUUGGAGCCCCAGCAUCGGGAAGUGGCCGACUCGCGGGCUGGACGCAAGGUGUUGUUCGCUCGUCCUCUGUCAAGGUAACCAGGAGAAGCUGUUGCAACCACCAAGGGAGGGUGUUUCCUCAGGCCGAGAGCUUAUUGGGAGCUUCGGAGCUACUGACGACAGCAAGCUGCAGGGCAGGCAAGGUGUGGGGGAGGAGGGCAGCAGGAGUAGGAGUGGUCUCCUUCCUUACUAAGACUUUUGAGACUUUGAUCCAGCACAUGCACACAUGUGGGAACGAUUCUUUGGCCACCCCAACCUGCAGAAAGACACAGUUCUGAGAAACAACUGGGCGCUGUGCGGAGCUCAGACCGUGGCAGGAACGGGCAGUGCAUCAUGGCCGCCCGUUGGGUGGCAGGAGGUGAGUGGCCACAGAGCAAGGCAGGCAGGUGCCCAUGUGCAGCUCCAGCAUGUGCCUGUAAAAACUUUUAAAACACUCUGCUCUUCAUGGAAAAAUGUAGAAACAGCCCCACGUGGCAGGGAAGGCACCAGCCCUGGGAACUCCUGCCGGUUCCGGCCUCCUGAGCCUGACCCUCAGUGAGGGCUCUCACCCCAGCUGGGACAUGGCUGUUCCACAGAGGCCGGCACGGAUGCCGUUGAGGAGAAGGGUGUCUGAGCAAGCUGGGUUCUCCUUUGUGCGUGGCCCACACUCACUCACGAGCCUCUCCACCUGGAAUUCUGCCCUGUGGAGGGGGGAUGUCCACGCCCACCCUGGCCUGCAUUUCAGGGAUUUUAUGAGCAUCAGAGGGCAUAACACGCCAUGGUGAAACCUGCCCAAUUGUGCCAUAGAACGGAUGUUGAUGAUUUCUUUUAAAUACACAUAGAAAUUGGCCCUCCCAGUCUUAAAACUUGAGAAAGCUACAUUUGUCUUAUCUGAGUUCCUUUCUCAGGAAACUGGCCCUCAGCCCUCCCAGGGAGUCUGAAGGAAUGGAGACUCACCAGAUCAUGGCAUCUAGACAAAGAGAUGCCAGACCCUUCCCCCGUCAUGGCUGCCUGUCCGGCCACCUGCUUCCUCCUGACCAACUCCUCUUCCUCACUCUCCCUCGUUCCUGUUUUCCUGCAGGUAGUUACAUUUCUGCUCUGCAAACCUCUACUUGUAGUUGAUCAGGGUGAUGGAUUUGAGGUCCAUCUCCCACCUCCUUGGCUGCUGCUCCCCAUUAAAGCCUCCUUAUUGGCUUUCUGUGUGGCGAGCAGCAGGACCGAGACCAGACUCCUGGUGUUUCGGUAACAAGGGGACACUCGAGAAACUACAGCCGCAAAUCAGCUCAGCCUCGAUGCCGAUGAGAAGCUGGUGGCCUUGCCCUUCUCAAGGGUUUUCCCAGGAAAAUCAAUUUGAUGCCUACUUGAGAUGCACUUUUUAAAUUGAUUUUUUUUACAAUAAAAGUAUUGUAUGUUCAUUGUAAAUACUUUUAAAACAUCAAAAUACGUUGCUUAAAAAAUUAAAUGCCUUAAAAAUGCCUUAAUACCCUCUAUACCCUCUAUUUAGAUGAGCCCAAUUUUUUUUUUUUUUUUGAGAUGGAGUCUCGCUCUGUUGCCUGGGCUGGAGUGCAGUGGUACAAUCGCAGCUCACUGCAACCUCCGCCUCCCAGGUUCCAGCUAUUCUCCUGCCUCAGCCUCCCAGGUAGCUGGGACUAUAGGUGUGCACCACAAUGCCCAGCUAAUUUUGUAUUUUUAGUAGAAAUGGGGUUUCACCAUGUUGGCCAGGCUGGUCUCGAACUUCUGACCUCGUGAUCCACCUGCCUUGGCUUCCCAAAUGUGCUGGGGUUACAGGCGCAAGCCACCACUCCCAGCCAAAGCCCACUUUUACAACGGUGGGGGUGCGUGUCAGUUUCUCAUAUUUAUUUUGCUACAUUUUGGUCCAUAUAACUGAAAUCAUUCAACACGCACUGGUAUUUGAAUGGAGUAAACACCAGAAGAUUCUUGGGCCCCAGUGGAAGGUAACAGAUAGGACAGAUUGGUGCUGUGCAGCGUGUGGCCCUGGUGGAUUUAUCAGUGUCUACUAUCCCACAAAAUUUUUGAAAGAAACAACUGAAGUCAUCUGAUAGCACUUAAAGAGGCAGCAUCGCUACCCGUGUGCAUCAGGGUGAUUUGGCCACAGCUUAAAUCGAACGUUCUACCAAGGGUGAAUCUCCUUUCUCUGGAUCUGCUGGGUGCCAGGAGAGCAGUUUAUCACCCUCGUGUAGGGAAGGGUGACAAGCAGGCUGGGGUGCUCCCUCGGCACUGGAUUUUGGGGGUCCUCACCACCCUGGCGGAUCAGAGGGGCCACUGCGCCUAAGCUGUGUGUGCAGACAAGCGGUUCCACUGGGCACCUGCUUUCCUCCCAGGGAUCCGAGAUCUGCAGGCAUGCCAGGCAGAGGGUGCGGCAUGACCAGCCCCAGAACAGCCCUGGUGCUGAGGCUGUGAGGCACUGAAGGGCUUCCAUGGUUGGAACAUGUCACACGCGUCACCAUAACGCGGUGCUGGGGAAUGACGUGCAUCCCGUGGGCUGCACCUGGAGAGGAUGCUGGGAGCUUGCGCCGGUUUCCUCCAUGCUCUGCCCCGCGCCCUGCCCUGUGCUGACUGUGUGUGUGUGUCCUUUCCUGGUAAAAAAUCAAAGGUCAGCAAGUCCUCCUGGAGAACUGUCAGCCUGGAGCCAUGGCAAACCUGCACAGCCACCUGUUUCCACCUCAGGCAGUGGUGUGGUUUCCCUCCACACGGUUGAUUCUCGUUAGAGCCACAGUCGCCGUCCUCUGUGCUGACAACCUUGUUCUCCCAUCCCGGGAGAGUUCUGAGGUUUGAUUCAUUAAUUCAUGUUUUUGUUUGUUCACCAUCAUUUAUUGAUAAUGUUCCCUGGAUCAAUCAUAAGAGAAUAAACGAUCAUGAAUAAAACAGUGAGAAAACGCA